UACGGGGGGGGCAAGCGUUGUUCGGAAUUACUGGGCGUAAAGGGCUCGUAGGUGGCCAACUAAGUCAGACGUGAAAUCCCCCGGCUUAACCGGGGAACUGCGUCUGAUACUGGAUGGCUUGAGUUCGGGAGAGGGAUGCGGAAUUCCAGGUGUAGCGGUGAAAUGCGUAGAUAUCUGGAGGAACACCGGUGGCGAAGGCGGCAUCCUGGACCGACACUGACACUGAGGAGCGAAAGCCAGGGGAGCAAACGGG
rnacentral:rRNA from 1 species